rnacentral:rRNA from 1 species
UUCCGGUUGAUCCUGCCGGAAGGUGCCGCUAUCGGAGUACGAUUAAGCCAUGCAAGUCAGCUGACAUCAUAUGUUGGCGGCGAACGGCUGAGUAACGCGUAGUCAAUCUGCCCUUAGGACGGGGAUACCCUUGGGAAACUGAGGAUAACCCCCGAUAGUUCAUCUAUGCUGGAAUGCUUGAUGAAUUAAAUCUUUUAGUGAAUUUGAGCUAUUGGGCCUAAGGAUGAGACUGCGUCUGAUUAGGUUGUUGGUGAGGUAACGGCUCACCAAGCCGAUAAUCAGUAGGGGCAAUGGGAGUUGGAGCCCCCAGAAGGGUACUGAGACAAGGACCCUAGUCCUACGGGAUGCAGCAGGCGCGAAACCUUUGCAAUGCGCGAAAGCGUGACAGGGGAACUCCGAGUGGCAGAAGCUUUACGGUUUCUGUCUUUUGGCUAAUCUAAAUCGUUAGCAGAAUAAGAUCUGGGUAAGACCAGUGCCAGCCGCCGCGGUAAUACUGGCAGAGCGAGUGGCACCCACGAAUAUUGGGUCUAAAGAGUCCGUAGCGGGUCUGUUAAGUCCACUGUGAAAUCCGGCUGCUCAACAGUCGGGCGUGCAGUAGAUACUGGCAGGCUUGGGAGCGGGGGAGGUCAGGAGUACUUGCGGGGUAGUGGUAAAAUACUGUAAUCCUGCAAGGACUACCAGUGGCGAAGGCGCCUGACCAAAACGCGUCCGACCGUGAGGGA